GGAGUUCCCAUUGUCGCUCAGCAGUAACAAACACAAUUAGUAUCCAUGAGGACUUGGGUUUGAUCCCUGGCCUCACUCAGUGGUUUGAGGAUCCAGUGUUGCCAUGAGGUGUGGUGUAGGUUGCAUACUCAGCUCGGGUCUGGUGUUGCUGUGGCUGUGCUGUAGGCUGGCUGCUGCAGCUCCGAUUCAACCCCAAGCUUGCAAACUUCCAUAUUCGUGAUGCACCCCUAAAAAGAAAAAAAAAGUAAGUAAAAGGAAGAUGGGGAGUUCCUGUUGUGGUGCAGCGGAGAAAUGAAUCCGACUAGGAACCCAUGAGGUUGCAGGUUUGAUCCCUGGCCUCACUCAGUGGGUUAGGGAUCUGGUGUUGCUGUGAGCUGUGAUAUAAGUUGCAGACGCGGCUUGGAUCUGGCGUUGCUGUGGCCUGGUGUAGGCUGGCCGCUGUAGCUCCGAUUGGACCCCUAGCCUGGGAACCUCCAUAUGCCUCAGGUGUGGCCCUAAAAAGCAAAAAAGAAAAAGGAAGAUGGAAGUCCUUGUAAGGACUUGAGAUUCAUCUUGAAGUUGAGACUAGGAAAAAGUGCAGACAAUAAGAGACAUCAUUUGUUACUUUUAGAGCAAGAGGAAUUAUUAGAGGCUAGAGUUCCACUUGGAGUUGAAGGUGUCACGUUAGCAACUGGAAAGCAGAAUACUCAACCUCGGUUUUCUUUACUCUCCCCCAAAGGAAAGCAUUUCUAAGCUGGAAUGAGUCAAGCAAAAUAGUUUCAAGGAAAUUGCAACUCCAAAUGGAAGAUAAUAAGCACACCUAAGCACCCAGCCAUUUUAAAUGAGUUGCAAAUCCCAAGGUAUUCAAAAACCUUUGCAGAGAAGAUCCUGGAACCCUUGCCAGUGUAACUGAGAAAGCCAUGGAGGAAAGGAAGGGGGCCCCAGUGCCUGAUGGCUGCAAGUGUCCUAGUAUCAGAAAAGAGGAAAAGGUAGAUUCUGGAAAUUCUAAGUGGGUACGUUUCAGGUGAAUUCCAAAAUUUGUUUUGGAAUAUAUUACACUGUGGGUUUGAGAAUACCUAGGAAAAGAAUCGGUACAUCCACCAAGAACAAGAUACAGUAAAUAAUAAUACCAACAAUAAUCUCAUUUGCUGUUAUUUAUUUGAAAGUCCACUAGGAAAAUUUCCUUGGUCACUUCCAGUUAGAUAUUGAAUGCCUCCCUGGCCAGGCUCACAAUGAAACAGUGACCUCAGGGUUGCCCUUUCAGGUGGAUUUCUAGCCCAUUUAACCAAUGUACUCCUCCACCCAAGUUGGUGAUUGAGUUGAUGUAAAUCUGGGGACAGGUCUUACCAUUAAUGCUUCUGGACUCUGCGUUUGGUCAGCUCAGUGGUUUUCGUGUCUGCCACACUCACAGUGCAGAAGGCACCCCUAUUGGGAGGAAAAGCUAAUAUUUGGACGUCAGAAGCAAGAUUUUAAGUAUCUUGAAACAGUGGGCUGAAACCAACAGGAUGGAUUUAAAAGAAGUGGAAAGACCUGCAUUUAUAAAUAUUUUUAAAAAUCACCUGCACUAGCACUGGGUGAAAGUAGUUUGACUUGACAGUGGUGCAUGUGAAAAGGCUAAGGGCUUUCAGCCGAACUCAGGUUGAAUAGAAGCCAGCAGGAACCGAGCAGCUGCUUUGAAAGAUAGUCGUUCUCCCCGCCUUUUAAAGUUUUAAGUGCAAAAGGGUGAAACAGUGAAAAGUAUGUCUCUCUAUCAGAACCAUUUCUCUUCCCAGGAGGCAACUGCUGUUAACAGUUUCUAGAAGAUCCUCUCAGAGGUAUUCUGUGCACAUAAAAGCAAAUGCAGAAACUUCCCUUGUGGCUGCAUUGCUGGAGCUGUGGUGCAGGCUGCAACUGCGGCUCAGUUUCUAUCCCUGUAUCCCCGGCCUGGAAACUUCCACAUGCCGUGGUUGCAGCCCAAAAAAAAAAAAAAAAAAGGCAAAUGCAUACUUUUUUUUUUUAACAGAAAUGGUAGCAUACUGUACACUUUUUUUUCACUUAACAGUAAAUCUUAAGACAUUAUUUCACAUUACAAAAUGACCCCUCAUUUUUUUUUCAAAGGGUGCCUGCAUAGUAUUCUAUGUAUCAGAAUUUAUUGAAUGGGUCCUCUGUUGCUGGACAUGUAGAUUGUUUCCAGUAUUUUGCUGUUACGAACAAUGCUGCAAUUAAGAAUAUGUCAUUUCAAACAAGUGGACUUAUAUCUGAAGAACAGCUUUUCAGGUGGUAGAAUCCCUGAGUUGAAGGGCAGGCACAUUUUCUGUCUUUUUUUUUUUAGGGCGGCACCCCCCGGCCUAUUGAGGUUCCCAGGCUAGGGGUCGAAUUGGAGCUGCUGUAGCCUACGCCUCAGCAACACCAGAUCUGAGCCACAUUUGCAACCUACAUCACAGCUCACAGCAAUACCGUAUCUUUAACCCACUGAGCGAGGCCAGGGAUCGAACCUGCGACCUCAUGGAUGUUAGGUUCAUUUCCACUGAACCACAAGGGAACUCUGGCACACACAUUUUAAAAUGUGCUAGAUACUGGAGUUCCCAUCGUGGCUCAGUGGUUAGCGAACCUGCGUAGGAUCCAUGAGGAUGCAGGUUCAAUCCCUUGCCUUGCUAAAUGGGUUAAGACUCCGGCGUUUCCUGAGCUGUGGUGUAGGUCAAAGAAGGGGCUUGGAUCCUGCAUUGCUGUGGCUGUGGUAUAGGCCGGCCACUACAGCUCUGAUUCGACCCCUAGCCUGGGAACUUCCACAUGCAGCAGCGGGUGGGACCCUAAAAAUGCAAAGAAAAAAAAAAAAGACCUACAACAAUAGCUCAGGUAAAGAGCCUGGUUUUGGGGAGAAACUCCAUAACUGUACUGCAUUUCACUCCAGCUUUAGUUGUUGUUGUUGUUGGUUUAGGAGGAGUGUUGUUUGUUUGCUUUUUUAGGGCAAAAUAGGAUCCUUAACCCACUGAGCAAGGCCAGGGAUCAAACCUGCACCCUCACGGAGACUAGUCAGGUUAAGUCAGCUUCGUUUCCACUGAGCCACAACGGGAACUCCCUUCACUCCAGUUUUGACAAAUUCUGGUUCAGUGUUCCAACUCUAUUGCUGCAGUAACCCAAAAGGUUCUGGUUUAAAUCAACCAAAAUCAAUUUUAUCCCUUGUGGGGCUGGAGGCGCGCUGGGUUCAGCCAGGUGAUUCUCGUUCAGAGGCCUGUGUACAGUAGGAAUCGGACGGUGUCUGGGCCCAGAGCCAUCUGGGUGGUUUCCUCACCCAUACUGCCAGCAGUUGACACUGGAACCUCAGCUGGGUCAGGCCCAGCUUCGUGGGAUGAGCUUGUGCAACUACUCAAGGUCCCACACUUGGAAGGGCUCUGUGUUUGAGUUAAUGCUCUUUGUCACCAUCUAAAUUAAAGAGGCCCUGCCUUUUCAUCUGCCUUUUCAUGCUGGACCUUACAAAUUAAAUAACUGGUCCUGACUGGGGCUGCUGGCCAUAACAUCUGCACGUGGCCUUUCCAUAUGGCCUGAGCUCUCUCACAUCAUGAUGGCUGGAACCCAAGUGUGACUUUUAAGAGAGAAAGCGCCAAGCAGUAGCAGUAUCAUCUAUCAUGACCCAACCUAAGUCCUCCUCUUAGAGGGAAGUGGCAUGGUCCCAAUGUAAGAAGAGCAGAUGGGAUGGGAGAUACUGUCACGCUGUCUUUGGAAAUGCAACGUGCCACGUCUGGUCAGGAGCUGGCCACCUCUGCAUCCUUGGCCUCAACCGCCCCAUCUGCACAAGGGACCUGGGGGCUCCCUUCUGGGAAAAGGGCCAACGGAGGGUACCUUGAUCCUCGAGGCCUCUCUCACCUUCCCCCCAUUUCAUGUUGUUUACCAGGCUCUCAGAGGGGUUGGAAACAGGGGCAGUGGGGCCAGGAGCCCAACCCAGGAGUUGGAAAUGUCUUUCCCCCCCGCUAAGGCUGAAUUCUCCAAGGAAGGCAAGGACUCAGCGCCCUGACAUCUGUUUCUCCUGCAGGCAUCUCUGCUUGGCUAACAUUCCUCCCCUUUCAUUUCUCCCUGGGGUGUGUUGUUGUCUUUCUCAUUAGCUUCCCCUCAACUCCCAGCAAGGUCCCUAGACUCCGAGCUCUGCUAAUUCCCCUGUAAUCCACUGGCAGACCAGGAAGCUAAUUAAAUUGUGAGCUUGUGCGCGCGCUCUGUCAGUCUCUGCCUCUCAGCCUCUUGUCCGUCUCUUCUCCACCCCUGUCCUCCCUUUCUUUUGCUUUCUGACUAGUCCUUCAUAGUUCAAAUUCAUCCGGACACUUUGAGUAUAUGCUUGUCCAUCUCCCUGCCUCUCCUCGCUGUGUCUGUCUCCUGCCUUCUAGUCUGUGGCUGGAGUAAUCUUACAAUACUGCUCUGAGCCCUCGCCCCUCGGCUGCAGGAUAAACCAAGCUCCUUAGCUCCUUAGCUCAGCAUUCAAGCCCCAUACCCCUCACCUGCCAUGCCUCCUCCACAAACCCUUCCCUCUUGAACUGAGCCACAUGCAGGCCCAUCUAUGCCAUCUCCACACUUUCGUUCACACUCUUACCUUUGACUGGAUCUCACUCCCUCCCUCCUCUUUCAGCAUUAUGUAAAAUCUUCACCGUCCUUUAGAAAUAACUUCUGUGACACCUUCUCUGACCCCCCAGGUGGAAUUUCUCCCCCUCUGAGGGCUCUCCUAGUGCUGAUCUCUUUUUACCUAUUACGGUUCUUUACGUCCACAUCCAGCCACUUGCACUAAGUGAUUAACUCCUUGAACUCAGGAUUUUUAGGUCCUAUUCUUCUCAGCCUCCUCCUGAGUACCUCACCUGUGUCCCACUGUGUCUUAUAACCUUUCAUUGUUGUCUCCUGGCCUAAGGUGAGGAGCUCCAGCCUUCAUGCAUUCAUUCCAGGAAAAAGGAAAAGAAGAGGGAAGGCUGAAAGAAUGGGUCUCCCAGCUGAGUCAGACUUUCUUUUUUCUUUUCUUUUUCGGGCUGCACCUGUGACAUAUAGAAGUUCCCAGGCUAGGGGUCUAAUCAAAGCUGUAGCCGCUGGCCUAUACCACAGCCACAGCAAUGCCAGAUCGGAGCUGCAUUUGCAACCUACACCACAGCACACAGCAAUGCGUGAUCCUUAACCCACUGAGCGAGGCCAGGGAUCAAACCCACAUCCUCAUGGAUUCUAGUCGGGUUCAUUAACCGCUGAGCCACGAAGGGAAUGCCCGAAUCAGUCCCUUUAAAGCACUUUCUCUCCCAAUAACUUCUGCUUACAUCUCAAUGACCAGGCCUAACUGUAGGAGUCACUGGGUACCUUGCCUCCCUUCAAACUCAAAAGCCCAUUCCUCAUUUUAUAGGUGAAAAAAAUAAGGCCCAGCAAAGAUCAGACAAUUAGGGAGGCCACAGAGCAUAGUGGUUAAGGAGCUACACAGGUUUUAGAACUACACAGAUGUGAGUUUGAAUCCUUGCCUUUGUAUUCAUCUCUUUGUUCUUCAUUUGUCAAAUGGGGUUAAGGACACCUCCUUCAGGGGAUGUUAAGAAAUUAACAGGUGAAAUGAAAAAGCACUUAGCAAGAGUUGUUGUUCAUUGUCUCAGUUUGGGUUCCCCUAAAAGCUGACCCUGAGACAGAUCUGGAUAAAGUUGUUUAUUUAGGAGGUAAUCCCAGAAGCAAGCUGAGGGAGUAGAGAAGUGAGACAAGCAAGAGAGGAAAGCCAGCAAAGCACACAGGGAUAAGCAGCUUUUCCCCAGGGACAACUUAGGUUCUAUUCUGCUGGAGUGUCCCUGAGACUAGAACAUGCCUAGAAACUGGGAAUUGCCCUGCUCUCAGAGGGACUGAAAGCUAGAGGGUUUAUCCACUCACUCUGGACCCUUCUUGUUUGAGGAUUACCCUGGGGGUAUUAAUUCUCCACGUCCAGCCUGCUGCACACUCACUUCCAGAGCUGGGAAUGUCUCAGGAGAGACACAAGGAGCAGUUCAGGAACUGUCUGCAGGUGACCUCCACAUGGGCCUGGGGGGUUGAGUGGGGGUACCAGUAGCACCUGCUACACAAUGAACCAAACUAAAGAGUUUCUAUCGUGGCUUAGACGUAAUGAACCCAACUAGUAUCCAUGAGAAUGUGGGUUUGAUCCCUGGCCUUGAUCAGUGCGUUAAGAAUCUGGCAUUGCCUUGAGCUGUGGUGUUGGUACAGACACAGAUCAGACCUGGCGUUGCUGUGGCUCUGGCGUAGGCCAGCAGCUACAGCUCUGAUCUGACCCCUAACCUGGGAACUUCCAUAUGCCACGGGUGCGGCCCUAAAAAGACAAAAAAAGAAAAGAAAAAGAAAAA
rnacentral:lncRNA from 1 species